AUGGUUCAUUUUGUCUGGUGUCCGGCUAGCAACAUGAAGCAGCCAAUGAUGGCUUUGGGUCACCCAGGGGGUGACAGUCACUGCUACCACAAAAUGCAUUGAGAAAGAAGACUCAGCUGAAUUCUUUCAGCUUAAGGGUGAAUCAGGUACUCGAGGACACCAGUACAUUUAGGACUGAAGUUAGGAAGCACUUCCUUAAGCAAAAAGUUGUGAGAAUCUGGGAAAAAAAAACACAAAAAACUAUCAAGCAAUGGAGCUGAAGAAGAAACCUGGACAACCUUCAAGAAGCAUCUAGAGGAGAUACUGGGACAGAUUCACGGUUAGCAGAACAAACAAGUGACAAACAGACUGAAUGGUCGCCCCUCAUUUAUCAAAUUUUCAGAUGUUCUUCACUGCUGUCAUGUUUUACUGCGAGUCGUAGUAACCCUAAUAAGGAUCACAAACCAAUAUGUGGAUUGCUGUCUGGUCAUCAAGUAAAGCAAAUAUGAAAAAUGAUAACGUAUAAGGCAGCAGAGUGGCACACUGGUUGGUGCUUCUGGGAUUGAGCCUCAUGCCUACGUGGAGCUUGCUUGGUCUCCCCUAAUCUAUGUAAGUUUUCACCAAAUUUUCCAUUCUUUGAUCAACGGCCAUGGCACUCUGUUAUUCAACUGCAGAAAAGGGUGCACCAGUGUGAGCUAGGUCAAUCCAUGCCAACAAGGUUGAGCCUGAGCUAAAUAGUGCAUGCCAAAUAAUCACCGGCACAUUGAGAACAACGUGGCUUCCUGCUUUAUACAGGCUGGCCAGGAUGGUACCUCCUCAUAUACGAUGAGAAACCAGUUCAAGAGUCGAAAAGGUUCAAACGACUGAUGGACUCCAGACACCCACUCCACCACCAGGCUUCUCGUCGGAGCUUUGCCACAAUGGAACCCCUCAAUCCAAAGCAAUCCACAACACAUAGGCUCGAGAGGUGGUGAGAGACUGACUGUAGCCCGACCAAUGAAGCUCUUCCUACACCUCAAGAGCAUCUACCCAAUGGAACAUCCCUCUCUAGGAAAGACUGGGUCAAAGGUGGGAAAAACAAGGGACAACCUAUUUAAAUGGGGCAUCACAACCAGCGCUGAAUGUCCCUGUGGUGAGACCACCCAAACAGUGGACCACAUUCCCCAUGAAUAUUCCCAAGGCCCUACAUGCACCAAUGAAGAUCUUAACGAUGCUAAUGACAAUGACAAAAUUUUCCAGUUUUCUUCCCACAAUGCAAAUACAUGCCUGUUAGUGUAUCGGGAUUUUUGUUCAAGUUAUGUAAGGUCAUAAAUAAUAAUAAAAGUCAAGAGUGGA